rnacentral:lncRNA from 1 species
ACAGAAACCCUGAGCUAUGAACAAAAACCUAACCUGAACUGUAAUUAGGAGCACAGUUACGAUAUUAAAUUAAGUUCGAUCAUGGCUGCUAAACGCAGUCUGCCGUCCUGGAUGUGUGCGCGUGAUUCUGGGAGCUCGGCGGGGAGAGAGAGAUCAGGAGUAAACAGAGAGAAAAGACCUGAGAGGACCAUGCUGUACUGGAUGAACGAGCGAGAGCUCGUGGAAACAGCCCUCAGCGUUUUAAUGACAAACACAGUGAAGACAGGUGUAGCUUGUCCAGCAGCAGCUGCAGAAGUCAGUGUUAUUCCAGAGACAGAUACAGAAGAGGAUUCAGACCUGGAUGCCAAGGAGAGAAGCUGUGGAUCAGAUUCCGAUGUUGAUGUUGCUGAGCAGCAGACUGUACCAUACAUCACUAGUACAGAGAAAGGGAGGUUAAGUGGAAGAUCAGACAGUGCUGGUGACCACCAUUCCACUUCACAUUCACGGGACUUGGAGAAGGAUCCAGAGCUUGAUGACGAUUCUCAGAGGACUAAGAGUGAUCCUGAAGCCAUGCAGCUUGUUCGAGAGAUCUUUUUCAGCUGAGAACAUUUACAGACUUUCGGAAGGGGAUUGGAACUGUAUUAUCUUGGGCAACAAAUUUAUGUUUUGGAUUUGACAACAAUCAGGGUCAAGUAUGGAGGCUUUGUCAUGAGCACGCCAAUCCUGCCUUUGCAGUGGAGUGACAGAAUGCCCCAACUGCUUGUGUGAAGAUCUGGAGAGUCAUCACAUACAUGACAAGGGCAGCGAUA